GAUGAAGAACGCAGCGAACUGCGAUAAGUAGUGUGAAUUGCAGAAUUCAGUGAAUCAUCGAAUCUUUGAACGCACAUUGCGCCCCUUGGUAUUCCAUGGGGCAUGCCUGUUCGAGCGUCAUUUGUACCUUCAAGCUCUGCUUGGUGUUGGGUGUUUUGUCUCGCCUCCGCGUGUAGACUCGCCUUAAAACAAUUGGCAGCCGGCGUAUUGAUUUCGGAGCGCAGUACAUCUCGCGCUUUGCACUCAUAACGACGACGUCCAAAAGUACAUUUUUACACUCUUGACCUCGGAUCAGGUAGGGAUACCCGCUGAACUUAAGCAUAUCAAUAAGCGGAGGA
rnacentral:misc_RNA from 1 species